UGAGGAAUUUUCUGCAAUGGGCGAAAGCCUGACAGAGCAAUACCGCGUGAGGGAUGAAGGCCUAUGGGUUGUAAACCUCUUUUCUCAAGGAGGAAGAUAUGACGUUACUUGAGGAAUAAGCAUCGGCUAACCCUGUGCCAGCAGCCGCGGUAAUACAGGGGAUGCAAGUGUUAUCCGGAAUCAUUGGGCGUAAAGCGUCUGCAGGUUGACUUUUAAGUCUUUUGUUAAAGCUCUGGGCUUAACCUAGAAUAUGCAAAGGAAACUAUUUGUCUUGAGUAUGGUAGAGGUAAAGGGAAUUUCCAGUGGAGCGGUGAAAUGCUUAGAUAUUGGAAAGAACACCAACAGCGAAGGCACUUUACUGGGCCAGUACUGACACUGAGAGACGAAAGCUAGGGGAGCAAACGGGAUUAGAUACCCUAGUAGUCCCUGAGCGGGCUGGCAAGGCGCAU
rnacentral:rRNA from 1 species